rnacentral:lncRNA from 1 species
ACUAGAAUGACAUCUAGCGUUAUCUAUCGUAUCAAUUUCACUUCCACUACGUCGCUCCGUCAAGAACUCAACUCAAUCCCAAAUAACAAAAUCCCACCUCCGAAAUGCAAAUCAAGAACAACCUAGAUCGCCCAUUUCAUCCAAAGAACAAUCCACAAGCAAGAUCCACAAACACAUCCACAAGCAAGAUCCACAAACACAACUACGUAUAUAAAAAGAUAAAAGAUGGAAACAAGAUAACACUUGUUCAGUGAAAAGAAUCACACAAGAGUAACCUAAUGUGCAAGCCUAUUGCAUCACAUAUCAAAUUCAG